rnacentral:lncRNA from 1 species
ACACUUGAUUCAUAUUGAGUCACCCUGAUAGGACCUCUGAUGAUCUCGAUCAUGACUGCCUCAUCGGAAGGAUACGAAAAUUUCUCUCUCCACUUUCUCUCUCUACUUUCUCUCUCUAAAAUUUUCUUUCUCUUCAUGAAUUUUCUCUCUCUAGAAGUCUUAUGGAUCAGUGGAGGAUCCAGAUACUUAGAUAAAUCCUAAUUUUGAUUAAUCCUAAGAGAGGUCCUCGAUUUGUGUUAUUAAGAUCGAUUAUCG